GUCUUCGUGGAGUAAGGAUGCUCGUUCCCUCUAAAUCCACAACCGAGCCAGAUACAUAUGGAAAGCUGGUGGUUCGACUCCACCCGAAGACA